AUUUGGGGGUCGCCUUCCUCUCGCCGUCUCGCGUACGCAUAAGUGGCCCGACAGAGGUUGCAGCGAAGCAAAGCUUCUGCUUCUGCUUCUGCUUCACAGCCUCUCUCUGUUCCCAACAGGCAACAGGCUCCCUCCACCUCCCAUGACCCAGGCAGAUUACUGGUUACCUGCUCCAACACCCCGCACCACCGCCAUCUCGUUUCUCUCCCCGCGCCUCGCGUACAUGUAUAAAAAGGGAGGGGCUUCUUCCUCCUCCGCACUCCUCCUCACCAUUUCCAUCGAGCACAAGAGAGGAUGAGAUCAGUGAGGAGGACCACGCUGGAGAAGCAGGGCACGUGCAUGGAUACGCUCUCCUCUCCUCUCCAUGGACCGGAGCAGCUAGUAUACAUAUUGCACGUGUUCUCCUUCUCCAUCAAGGUCUUCCUCACUUCGCCGCUAUUCUUGAAUUGCAAGCAUCAACGAACCCCUCGCCUUCAUGUUCAUGUUCAGUAUGCUGCGAAGAAUUACUUGCCAUUUGUCUCCUCGUAGCUUCAUGCAGCUUCUUCUCAUCCGCAGCAGAAAAUCAGAUGUGUCAUUUUCCCCUUUUUUCCGUCUCCCUUUGUUUAUUGUACGACUAUGACGCAGUAGGUAGAAAAAUCCGAAACACGGCCUGUCGAAUUCUUGUCCUUGAUCCUGUCAAACUCAAACUUAAAUGUAGUCCAAGUGGUGAAUGUUGCUA